AGUUAUCCGCGUAGCGGAGGGCGAUACCGCCCCUUGGAAGGGAGCGCUUUAGGCUUAAAAAAGCCAGCCUCUGGAGAUCUUUGCUUUGGAUGACUA
rnacentral:tRNA from 1 species